rnacentral:rRNA from 1 species
UACGUAGGGUGCAAGCGUUGUCCGGAAUUAUUGGGCGUAAAGAGCUCGUAGGCGGUCUGUCGCGUCGGAUGUGAAAAUCCAGGGCUCAACCCUGGACCUGCAUUCGAUACGGGCAGACUAGAGUUCGGUAGGGGAGACUGGAAUUCCUGGUGUAGCGGUGAAAUGCGCAGAUAUCGGGAGGAAUACCGGUGGCGAAGGCGGCGUUCUGGACUGCAACUGACACUGAGGAACGAAAGCCAGGGGAGCAAACGGG